GAUGAACGCUGGCGGCGUGCCUAAUACAUGCAAGUCGAGCGAACAGACGAGGAGCUUGCUCCUCUGACGUUAGCGGCGGACGGGUGAGUAACACGUGGAUAACCUACCUAUAAGACUGGGAUAACUUCGGGAAACCGGAGCUAAUACCGGAUAAUAUAUUGAACCGCAUGGUUCAAUAGUGAAAGACGGUUUUGCUGUCACUUAUAGAUGGAUCCGCGCCGCAUUAGCUAGUUGGUAAGGUACCGGCUUACAAAGGCAACGAUGCGUAGCCGACCUGAGAGGGUGAUCGGCCACACUGGAACUGAGACACGGUCCAGACUCCUACGGGAGGCAGCAGUAGGGAAUCUUCCGCAAUGGGCGAAAGCCUGACGGAGCAACGCCGCGUGAGUGAUGAAGGUCUUCGGAUCGUAAAACUCUGUUAUUAGGGAAGAACAAAUGUGUAAGUAACUAUGCACGUCUUGACGGUACCUAAUCAGAAAGCCACGGCUAACUACGUG
rnacentral:rRNA from 1 species